GCCUGGUUGGCUCCAUCAGUACAGCAUGUGACUUUUGAUCUCAGGAUCGUGAGUUCAAGUCCCACAUUGGACA
rnacentral:tRNA from 1 species